GCCCAGUGUGGUGUCACGUGCCUGUAGUCCCAGCUACUCAAGAGGCUGAGGCUGGAGGAUCGCUUGAGCCCAGGAGUUCUGGGCUGCAGUGUGCUAUGCCAAUCGGGUGUCUGCACUAAGUUCGGCAUUAAUAUGGUGACCUCACAGGAGCGGGCGACCACUAGGUUGCCUAAGGAGGGGUGAACCGGCCCAGGUCAGAAACGGAGCAGGUCAAAACUCCCAUGCUGAUCAGUAGUAGGAUCGCGCUUGUCAAUAGCCACUGCACUCCAGCCUGAGCAAUAUAGCGAGACCCCGUCUCU
rnacentral:SRP_RNA from 1 species